rnacentral:rRNA from 1 species
AUACGGAGGGAGCAAGCGUUGUUCGGAAUCACUGGGCGUAAAGCGAGUGUAGGUUGUCAGGUAAGUAGGAUGUGAAAGCCCGGGGCUCAACCCCGGAAUUGCAUUCUAAACUGCCUGGCUAGAGUCCCGGAGAGGGAGGUGGAAUUCCGAGUGUAGAGGUGAGAGUCGUAGAUAUUCGGAGGAACACCAGAGGCGAAGGCGACCUCCUGGACGGUGACUGACACUGAGACUCGAAAGCGUGGGGAGCAAACAGGAUUAGAAACCCUAGUAGUCC